rnacentral:lncRNA from 1 species
AGCAGAACCCUGAGGCACUUACACCAGUGCUCAAAGCUCUGGAAGAGGCAGGAUCAGCGAGUGCUCUUGAGGCGAGGAAUUCAACAGCCAUUUUGGAGGUUUCCCUCAGGCUGAUGGAGGAAGAAUUCUAGCUGAGGAAAAGAAUAAACUUAAGGGCUGGAGAGAUGGCUCAGUGGUUAAGAGCACUGGCUGCUCUUCCAGAGGUCUGAGUUCAAUUCCCAGCAAGCUCAUGGUGGCUUACAACCAUCUGUAAUUGGAUAUGAUGCCCUCUUCUGGUGUGUCAGCAACAGCAUGCUCAUAGAUAGAUAGAUAGGUAGGUAGAUAGAUAGAUAGAUAGAUAGAUAGAUAGAUAGAUAGAUAGAUAGAUAAUAAAUUUAAGGAUCCAGAGGUAGGAAAGCCUUCUGUACCUGGCAACUGAAAACUGGGAGUUCAUUUCCUGAUGAAGGUGUAUAGGUGUGAACCAAGUGCACGUCUAGUUCCCUUGGAGGCCAGAAAGAAGGCGGUGUCAGAUCCCCAGGAACCAUAGUUACAGAUGGUUGAUGUGGAAACUCAGAGAGGAUGCCACUGUUUUGAACUAUUUUGAAGGCACAGCCACCAGAGCUUUAGGUCAGAAGAGGUCCUUGGAACUGGAAUUACAGGUGGCUGUGAGCCUCCAGGUAGGUGCUGAGAAUCAAGCAGCCUGGCUCCUCUGUAGGAGCUCUAAGGAAUGCUCUUACCUGCUGAGCCAUCUGUCCAGCCCUGAUUGUCCUGGCUGUUAAUUGAGGAAGGAAGACUUACUCUGAGGGAGGGCUGAGCCAGUCCCCAGGCUGCUCCCUGAAUGGUAUGUAGAGGAGGGGAGCCAGCUAAGCACUGACCAGCGAGGGUGUGCACAUUUUCUUUGGUCUUUGUUUUGAAUGUGGUGUGGCUGGCUGCUUCAAUUCCUGACUUGAUUUCCUCAAAAGGAUAGGCUGUAACCCAGAAUGGUAAACUGCCUU